rnacentral:rRNA from 1 species
UGUGAUGGGGAAGCUCCUUAUGGAGCGAAGUCUUUGAUUCCCCGCUGCCAAGAAAAGCUUCUAGCGAGAUAAAAGGUGCCUGUACCGCAAACCGACACAGGUAGGCGAGGAGAGAAUCCUAAGGUGUGCGAGAGAACUCUGGUUAAGGAACUCGGCAAAAUGACCCCGUAACUUCGGGAGAAGGGGUGCUUUCUUAACGGAAAGCCGCAGUGAAUAGGCCCAAGCGACUGUUUAGCAAAAACACAGCUCUCUGCGAAGCCGUAAGGCGAAGUAUAGGGGGUGACACCUGCCCGGUGCUGGAAGGUUAAGGAGAGGGGUUAGCGUAAGCGAAGCUCUGAACUGAAGCCCCAGUAAACGGCGGCCGUAACUAUAACGGUCCUAAGGUAGCGAAAUUCCUUGUCGGGUAAGUUCCGACCCGCACGAAAGGUGUAACGAUUUGGGCACUGUCUCAACCAGAGACUCGGUGAAAUUAUAGUACCUGUGAAGAUGCAGGUUACCCGCGACAGGACGGAAAGACCCCGUGGAGCUUUACUGUAGCCUGAUAUUGAAUUUUGGUACAGUUUGUACAGGAUAGGCGGGAGCCAUUGAAACCGGAGCGCUAGCUUCGGUGGAGGCGCUGGUGGGAUACCGCCCUGACUGUAUUGAAAUUCUAACCUACGGGUCUUAUCGACCCGGGAGACAGUGUCAGGUGGGCAGUUUGACUGGGGCGGUCGCCUCCUAAAGUGUAACGGAGGCGCCCAAAGGUUCCCUCAGAAUGGUUGGAAAUCAUUCGUAGAGUGCAAAGGCAUAAGGGAGCUUGACUGCGAGACCUACAAGUCGAGCAGGGACGAAAGUCGGGCUUAGUGAUCCGGUGGUUCCGCAUGGAAGGGCCAUCGCUCAACGGAUAAAAGCUACCCCGGGGAUAACAGGCUUAUCUCCCCCAAGAGUCCACAUCGACGGGGAGGUUUGGCACCUCGAUGUCGGCUCAUCGCAUCCUGGGGCUGUAGUCGGUCCCAAGGGUUGGGCUGUUCGCCCAUUAAAGCGGUACGCGAGCUGGGUUCAGAACGUCGUGAGACAGUUCGGUCCCUAUCCGUCGUGGGCGUAGGAAAUUUGAGAGGAGCUGUCCUUAGUACGAGAGGACCGGGAUGGACGCACCGCUGGUGUACCAGUUGUUCUGCCAAGGGCAUAGCUGGGUAGCUAUGUGCGGAAGGGAUAAGUGCUGAAAGCAUCUAAGCAUGAAGCCCCCCUCAAGAUGAGAUUUCCCAUAGCGUAAGCUAGUAAGAUCCCUGAAAGAUGAUCAGGUUGAUAGGUUCGAGGUGGAAGCAUGGUGACAUGUGGAGCUGACGAAUACUAAUAGAUCGAGGACUUAACCAU